AAUCCAUAGGUUAAUGAGGCGAACCGGGGGAACUGAAACAUCUAAGUACCCCGAGGAAAAGAAAUCAACCGAGAUUCCCCCAGUAGCGGCGAGCGAACGGGGAGGAGCCCAGAGCCUGAAUCAGCAUGUGUGUUAGUGGAAGCGUCUGGAAAGGCGCGCGAUACAGGGUGACAGCCCCGUACACAAAAGCGCAUGUGCUGUGAGCUCGAUGAGUAGGGCGGGACACGUGGUAUCCUGUCUGAAUAUGGGGGGACCAUCCUCCAAGGCUAAAUACUCCUGACUGACCGAUAGUGAACCAGUACCGUGAGGGAAAGGCGAAAAGAACCCCGGCGAGGGGAGUGAAAAAGAACCUGAAACCGUGUACGUACAAGCAGUGGGAGCACCCUUUGGGUGUGACUGCGUACCUUUUGUAUAAUGGGUCAGCGACUUAUAUUCUGUAGCAAGGUUAACCGAAUAGGGGAGCCGGAGGGAAACCGAGUCUUAACCGGGCGUUAAGUUGCAGGGUAUAGACCCGAAACCCGGUGAUCUAGCCAUGGGCAGGUUGAAGGUUGGGUAACACUAACUGGAGGACCGAACCGACUAAUGUUGAAAAAUUAGCGGAUGACCUGUGGCUGGGGGUGAAAGGCCAAUCAAACCGGGAGAUAGCUGGUUCUCCCCGAAAGCUAUUUAGGUAGCGCCUCGUGAAUUCAUCUCCGGGGGUAGAGCACUGUUUCGGCUAGGGGGCCAUCCCGGCUUACCAACCCGAUGCAAACUGCGAAUACCGGAGAAUGUUAUCACGGGAGACACACGGCGGGUGCUAACGUCCGUCGUGAAGAGGGAAACAACCCAGACCGCCAGCUAAGGUCCCAAAGUCAUGGUUAAGUGGGAAACGAUGUGGGAAGGCCCAGACAGCCAGGAUGUUGGCUUAGAAGCAGCCAUCAUUUAAAGAAAGCGUAAUAGCUCACUGGUCGAGUCGGCCUGCGCGGAAGAUGUAACGGGGCUAAACCAUGC
rnacentral:rRNA from 1 species